AAGGCCCGAGACCAUGGAAUGAUCAAGGAGUUGCAAGAUGAUGGGGAGCCUCGAAUGUGGGGUAACUUAGGAGAUCAGAAUAUCCGUCUGAUGGAGUAAGUAAGGGCCAUACGACUCUACAUCGGCGAGAGAAAUCCCUAACACCCCGACCUCAUUCCAAAGGGAAGGCUAUAUGGACGGCAGAUGGCGUGAAAUAUUGGGUAUAACUACUCGGGGGAUCCUGUAUGAGACAAAUUUGAGAUGACAUUAAAG
rnacentral:lncRNA from 1 species